rnacentral:lncRNA from 1 species
CGGGCUGUGCUCGAGACGGUGCUCGGCAGGCGUUGGCCCUUAGUGUCUGGCUAGCUGUAUCUAAAGGCCUGUAUCUAAGCCUUUCCUCUGCUCUACAUAGUUGGGCAAUACAAAGCCCAUUCGUUUCCUUGUGAACUGUAACUGAGAAAAGCAGCUCACAGGUCUGGGCUCUCCUUACUUAGUUAUUCUUGCUUUUAACUUAUGUAAGUUCCUGUGGUGACUCCAUGUAAUAUGUAGUGAAAUUACUGUAUAUAGUUUCUAUUAAAUGUUAAAAUGCUAUCAAA